CACUCCUACGGGAGGCAGCAGUGGGGAAUUUUGGACAAUGGGGGCAACCCUGAUCCAGCAAUGCCGCGUGAGUGAAGAAGGCCUUCGGGUUGUAAAGCUCUUUUGUCAGGGAAGAAACGGUGGUGGCGAAUAACUACUACUAAUGACGGUACCUGAAGAAUAAGCACCGGCUAACUACGUGCCAGCAGCCGCGGUAAUACGUAGGGUGCAAGCGUUAAUCGGAAUUACUGGGCGUAAAGCGUGCGCAGGCGGUUGUGUAAGUCAGAUGUGAAAUCCCCGGGCUCAACCUGGGAAUUGCAUUUGAGACUGCACGGCUAGAGUGUGUCAGAGGGGGGUAGAAUUCCACGUGUAGCAGUGAAAUGCGUAGAUAUGUGGAGGAAUACCGAUGGCGAAGGCAGCCCCCUGGGAUAACACUGACGCUCAUGCACGAAAGCGUGGGGAGCAAACAGGAUUAGAAACCCGGGGUAGUCCC
rnacentral:rRNA from 1 species